CCAGGAUUUGGGACUUUUAAUUAUUUUCAGAGGACAGCAGAGGAUGGCCUUUAUUUCUGCUUUUUCACAUGUACUGUUUGUGGUACUUUUAAUUUUAGGAUUCACACAGGGGCAGGAAAUGUGACUCAUACUGCAUGUCAUUGAAUAAAAUUUGCAUUAACUUAGAUAGUUUCAUGCAGAAGCAAACACUUCACACUUCUAUAGAGAGGCAGUUUGGAUCAGUGCAACUGAAUCUUCUGUGUGUAUAUUCGGUUGGAACGUUGACACUGAAAACCAUGUUGCUGUGUGUCUGGCUGGUCAGCAGUCUGAUUCACAUGAUCUCAGGCUGUUCUCUAUCUGCACCCACAGAGGUCACUGGGUACACAAGAGACUCCGUGGUCCUGCCUUGCUACUGCACUGAGGGACUGCCCACACCGAACACUGUCAGAUGGUAUUUUUCUCAAGAUAGUUCCAGUGUCAUACUUUGGUCGUAUUCCAAUGAAGGGGACGACCAAUUCAAAGACCGGGUGAUUAUUUCUACCACCCCUGGAAACCUGUCUCUCCAUCUCUCAAAUCUCACUCUGUCAGAUGGGGGUAAAUACAUUUGUCAAGCAGAUGAUGGGCACAACAGACACAUCAGUCUCAAAGUGAAAGAAGCCACAACCCGGUCUCCAACCACAACCAAGCACACAUCCACACAUGGAAGCAAGCCACCCCCCAAAACGGAGAUCUCUGAAGACCUGAAAAACUCCAUCUUGUACGCGACCAUUGCUGUUGUUGCCGCAGUCGCAGUGUGUGGGGCUGUGUUAUUUUACUGCAGAUUUAAAUCCAGGAAAAAUGCACGUGUGGAAUCCAGAGAAGAACAAGAGAUGGGGACCGGGGAGCAGGAGGAGGAAGAGAAUGCUGAUUCAGUGACAUAUUCUACUGUUGUUCACAGUAAAACUGUGAAAAAUACAAACAUCCAAAAUCAAAGUGAAGACUCCACAGAAUAUGCUUCCAUUAAACUUGGAAUGUCAUCAAAUUUAUAGAAAUACCUCGUACACACGCACACGCAUUCACACAAACACACACACACACACACACACACACACAAACACAUUCAUAUAUGCACAUACACACACACCAUCUGUAGCAAAGAGAGCAGUUUGUAACAAUGAGAUCAUUUAUAUUUAAUGUAAACAAUGUUUGUGAAUUUCUUUUGUGAAUCAUGUAAAGUAUAUAGGAUCAGGAUGAAGUUCUAUAUUAUUUUGUAUUUUGCAUCUCAGUACUUCUAGGUGCACUGCAUUAUAGCAUGAUGUUAGUUUAACUUGCAAAGACCUCUGAUUAUUAAUAAUUGUAAUGAUAAAAUUUUGCAUUAAAAAUGUAUGUGUAUUGAUACUGUAGUAUUUCUUUAUAUUAUCUCAUGUGCAACAAUGGAAUGGAAUUAUGGUAUGAGCAUGGAUAACUAUCUUAUUAUUUAAUGUAUGAAAUUGUUUAAAUAAUAUAUCUGUGGAGACAGAAAAUCACUAAUA